CCUACGGGUGGCAGCAGUGGGGAAUAUUGCGCAAUGGGCGAAAGCCUGACGCAGCGACGCCGCGUGAGGGAUGAAGGUCUUCGGAUCGUAAACCUCUGUCAGCAGGGAAGAACGGUCACUGUGCUAAUCAGCAGUGAAUUGACGGUACCUGCAAAGGAAGCACCGGCUAACUCCGUGCCAGCAGCCGCGGUAAUACGGAGGGUGCGAGCGUUAAUCGGAAUUACUGGGCGUAAAGCGCUCGUAGGCGGUAUGUCAAGUCAAGGGUGAAAUCCCCGCGCUCAACGUGGGAACUGCCUUUGAAACUGGCAAACUGGAGUGUGUGAGAGGAUAGUGGAAUUCCAGGUGUAGGAGGGAAAGCCGGAGAUAACGGGAGGAAAAUCAGUGGGGAAGGCGACUAUCUGGCACAUAACUGACGCUGAGGAGCGAAAGCGUGGGUAGCAAACAGGAUUAGAUACCCCUGUAGUC
rnacentral:rRNA from 1 species